CCCUCGAAGUUGAUGGAUUUUACUGCUUCCAAAGAUAUUGUCAGACACAUAGAACGAACUCAAGUCAUUGCAGAACCUAUACAUUAAUCGCUUCAAUCAGAACUUUAAUGUACAAUAUAUGAAUUUCACGUAAGAAAUGUCUUCAGGAUUAAAAGCGUAGUCGCUGCAGUAGGAAAAAAUACAUAGGUACCUACCUAUAUAUGUCACGAUAAUUUUCCGGACUUAUAUCUUGUUGAAAUGGAAAACCGUCGACGGCCAGUCAAUCGGAAUGGAUUCUACUGCUGUUUAUUGUCACCUUGGAGUGUUCACAAUGCGCGAGAAAAGUUAUUGCGAAUUAAUAAUCAUAAACAUAUAGUACAAUAAUAAAUUAUUAAUAAAUAAUAUUAUACUGUUUCAGUUCACAAGACUUCCCCUUCGGGAAUCUCUCAAUACCCAAUUCACCAGAACGCACAAGGUUUUGGAGAUUACAGAAUAGCGAUCCGCUGGUAUUGACGGAGGAGAAACGCGAUUUUAACGAUCGAUUUAUAACAUAAUAGCAUAAAUAUUGUUAGACAUUUGCGUCCAACCGCAAUGACAUAAAUAGUAUCAGUACGAUAUUGUUGUAAACUGUAUGAGGACAAUAUUAUAUUGUUAUGUUUCGUACCUAAAUAGAAAUGGGUGCGCGCCACAAAUUAGUAUUGUCGUCGAAAUAUUAUAUUAUUAUUAUUAUUUACGUCUUUAGGUUUUUAUGAAUAAUA